AGCUCCAAUAGCGUAUAUUUAAGUUGCUGCAGUUAAAAAGCUCGUAGUUGGAUUUCGGGUGGGGCCUGCCGGUCCGCCGUUUCGGUGUGCACUGGCCGGGCCCACCUUGUUGCCGGGGACGGGCUCCUGGGCUUCACUGUCCGGGACCCGGAGUCGGCGAGGUUACUUUGAGUAAAUUAGAGUGUUCAAAGCAGGCCUACGCUCUGAAUACAUUAGCAUGGAAUAACACGAUAGGACUCUGGCCUAUCCUGUUGGUCUGUAGGACCGGAGUAAUGAUUAAGAGGGACAGUCGGGGGCAUUCGUAUUUCAUUGUCAGAGGUGAAAUUCUUGGAUUUAUGAAAGACGAACUACUGCGAAAGCAUUUGCCAAGGAUGUUUUCAUUAAUCAAGAACGAAAGUAC
rnacentral:rRNA from 1 species